UUAUUUGAAACAGGAUACAACCUCCACUACCGGGUAAACAAGGGUGAUCAAAACUAAGUGGGCCUAAAAGCAGCCACCUUCCGAAAAGCGUCAAAGCUUAUCUAUUCUAACCCGCAAUUUCUAAAAUACUCCCUAACCCUUCAUUCCUACUGACCCCCUUUAUACUAUUAUAAAAAUAAUUAUGCUAGAACUAGUAACAAGAAGUCACCCUUCUCCAUAAUGUAAGUAUAAACCAAAACGGACCCUCCAUUGGUGAUUAACGUAAAUGCAAGCCCCAUAAUAACACAUACCCAGAAAACCUUAUGGCCCCCCACGUUACCCUAACACUAGAACAUUACAGGAAAGAUUAAAAGAGAAAGAAGGAACUCGGCAAAUUUUAACCCCGCCUGUUUACCAAAAACAUCGCCUCUUGAUAAAACAUAAGAGGUCCAGCCUGCCCAGUGACAAAAUUCAACGGCCGCGGUACACUAACCGUGCGAAGGUAGCAUAAUCAUUUGUUCUUUAAAUAAGGACUAGUAUCAACGGCACCACGAGGGUUAUACUGUCUCCUAUCUCUAAUCAGUGAAACUGAUCCCCCCGUGAAGAAGCGGGGAUCUAGCU
rnacentral:rRNA from 1 species